CCGCCUCCUGCGCCUCCUCCACCGCCCCGAGUGCCAGCCCUGCGGGGACACGGGAGAGAGCACCCUCGCAGCCUCCACCUGAGACCCCUGAGCGGUCAGAACGCCAGAGAGCCAAGGAUCUGGGGGAUGACAUGUCGGGGUGGUGACGGGAUUAGAAGUUCUGGCCUGUUCCGAAGGCUGCGGGGGUGCCGGUUAAGUUUGUAGACUGCGGCAUAGGAACAGAAGCUACUCCAGAAGCAGAUGCAGUGUUGGAAUUCAAGCCCCAAUCCACCGUGUCUAUACACCUUUUUACCACGUUAGUAUGGUCUGUUUUCUUGACAUUAAAAACAUGAAUAAAUAAAUAAGGUAGAUUUGAAGAGUGUGUCCCUUGGGUUGUUACGGUUUUAAGUAUCAGCAGGCACUCUGGUUGUCUCAGUUACAGGAGGUAAAGACUCACAUAGAAAUUCAACCAGAGGCUUAACUAGCCUCUGGGUCUCACAGGUGUGGUCUAUACCUUUGAUGACUCGGGGAAGAGGAGUAACACUACGUAUAGACCACUAUGCUCUGAGUGCCAUGAUUUAAUCAAGAAGCUCCACAACGUUUCUAAAUGCC
rnacentral:lncRNA from 1 species